GAUGGAAUCUGAGCUUAACAGCGGGGGCUCAGGGAGGGGCGGAGCUAGCAGGGGGUUGGCAAAGGCUUAGGGAGGCAGGGCUGUUCUGUGUGUCCGAAGCCUCGGUCUGCCAGAGGGGAAGGAGCUGGGGAGGCAGCUGUGGUCUCCCACAGAGGAGCAGUGCUCCCCUUUGGUGGUGUUGUGACUCAUACAAGUUCUAGCAAGUGUGACCAGUGGCAAGAAAGCACCACCAGUGGCAAGAAAGCACUGAGUGCGGAAACAUUUUGUUUUUGUCAAAAUGCGACUAGUACCCGGUUUGACGAGUUCUGAAGCCAAGUCCCGAGAAACUUUCUAAGUCCCAGCCAAGAUGGAGGUGUCGGUAGAAACCCUUUACUUCCUUGCACAACCAAAAGGAGGAUAGCAACCAAUCUAAAAUCAAUAAACAACCAGAAGUGCCAGAAAAUCAAACUGCAUGGAACUCUGAGAACGAUGGGAUUAAAAGAAACAGCCAAACAGAGUGACCAGACCAGUAAGGCAGCGGUCGGAGAGAAACCAUGGCACAGCAGUGGACUGUGGGUUGGGCUGGCUGUGGUGAGGCAGGGGGCUGUGUGGGCACGGCUGACUUAUGGGGAAGCAGACUCAGAGUGGGCUGUGGACUACGGUGGUUGCCAUGGCAGGAGAAACUCCCAGUCUCACAUGAGAGUUCAUUGAAAAGUGCACUAGAGAUGAGCAGGUGAGUUGCACUGUUGCCCCUCGGGCCCCUUCCCCACAGGCAGAGCUGCAGCGCAGCAAGGAGGGUUGCCCUGCUUGGGUGACUGCUGAAGGCCCUGCCCAUUACAACUUAUAACUUCACAGCGGCCCCUAACAAAGAUAUAUGGCCAAAAUGAAGGAACAGUGCAAAACUUCAGAAAGAGAGCUAAACGAUGAGGGGAUAGCCAACUGAUCUGAUGGAGAAUUUAAAGCCCUGGUAAUCUAAAUGCUCAAAGAACUGAUUAAGCUUGGUCAAAAAAUGAAACAACAAAUGAAAGAUACCCAAAAUGAAAUAAAGCAAAAUAUUCAGGGAACCAACAGUGGCAGGAAGGAAACCAAGAUUCAAAUCAACAAUUUGAAACAAAAGGAAGAAAUAAACAUUCAACUAGAACAGAAUGAAGAAACAAGUAUUCAAAAAAAGUGAAGCAAGACUCUUCAACCUCUUUGACAACUUGAAAUCUUCCAAUAUCCAAAUUAUAGGGGUGCCGGAAGGAGAAAAACAGCAGCAUGAAAUUGAAAACUUAUUUGAAUAAAUAAUGAAGGAAAACUUCUCCAAUCUGGCAAAGGAAAUAGACUUCCAGGAAGUCCAGAAACCCUAGAGUGCCCAAUGAAGUUGGACCCAAAGAGGAACACACCCAGGCACAUCAUCAUUAAGUUACCUAAGAUUAAAGAUAAGGAGAGAAUAUUAAAAGCAGCAAGAGGAAAGGAAAUAGUUACCUACAAAGGAGUACUCAUUUUGCUAUCAGCUGAUUUCUCAAAAGAAACCUUACAGGCAAGAAGGGGCUGGAGAGAAGUAUUUGAAGUCAGGAAAGGCAAGGACCCACAUCCAAGAUGACUCUAUCCAGCAAAGCUAUCAUUUAGAAUGGAAGGGCAGACAAAGUGCUUCCCAGAUAAGGCCAAGUUAAAGGAGUUCAUCAUCGGCAGGUCAUUAUUAUAUGAAAUGUUAAAGAAACUUACCUAAGAAAAGGAAGAUAAAAAAUAUGAACAGUAAAAUGAGAACUCACAACUAUCAAUAAAUGAACCCCAAAAAAUAAAAGAAAGAAAAACAACAAAAAUUAAAACUAAGCAAAUAAGCAGAACAGGAACAGAAUCAGAGAAAUGGCUAUCAUACAGAGGGGAUUCAGUGGAGAGGGGGAAGGGAGGAAUGGGGAGAAAAGGUACAGGGAAGAAGAAGCAUAAUUGGUAGGCAUUCAAUAGAUAGGGAGUGGUCAAAAACUGUGUAGGAAACAGAACUCAAAGAACUUAUAUGUACAACCCACGGACAUGAGUUAACAGCAGUGGGGAAG